GAAACUGUAAUUUUAGGGAUCAUUUCUAUAGUUUGUAAGUAGGAAAUGAUGGUUGAACGCGUCUGAUUUCGCUAAGCAGAAGAGGAAUUACCAUGUUUCUUCUAAGCGCGAAACGAGCAGCGUGUGUUGUUUUAAUGUAGCUGCUGUUUACUAUUGAUAAACAUUCCCGCUUUUUUUCGCGAGCCGUGAGGGAGAAAACGGGGACUGA